UUUAAAGUUUUUGAUGUAUUUAAUAAGUUCCCUGGUCGCCAGAAGAUUAUUAUUAGCAGGAAGUGGGGAUUCACCAAGUUCAGCCGAGCUGACUAUCUGAAGUUUAAGCAGGAAAAUAGGAUUAUGCCUGAUGGUGUGAAUGCAAAGCUUCUUGGGUGCCAUGGACCAUUGGCUAACCGUCAACCUGGAAGAGCAUUUUUGCAAACCAGUGCUACUGCUUAGUUAUAUAGUCUAUUUAUCUGGGAAAUAGGAGACUUUGGACAAUAAUAGUUUUGAAAUAGUCGUGUGUUGCUUUCCCUUUCAAUUGUCUUAAAACUAAGUUGGUUUAUUGCUGUUUUACAUCAAAUACCUCGAGUGGAAUUGUUAUUAAGUCCUAUUUUGGUAAUUUUGAUGAUCCACUUAUGUUUAUUUUUUGUUUA